CGAAAGGGAGAGUAACGAGUAGAGUACGUACUCAGGGGUUCAGGAGAGCGGGGGGAAACCGCCGGUAAUACCGAAUAAUGUUUCCGAACCAAAGAUCCAUCGCCCCUGGAGCGGUUUGCUUACUAUUAGUUUGUUGGUGGGGUAAAGGCCUACCAAGGCUAAGAUGGUUAGCGGGUGUGAGAGCAUGGCCCGUCUCACUGGGACUGAGACACUGCCCAGACACCUACGGGUGGCUGCAGUCGAGAAUCUUCCGCAAUGGACGAAAGUCUGACGGAGCGACGCCGCGUGCGGGAUGAAGGCCUUCGGGUUGUAAACCGCUGUCGUAGGGGAGGAAAUUUUGACCGAUCCUAGGAGGAAGCACAGGCUAAGUUCGUGCCAGCAGCCGCGGUAAUACGAACUGUGCGAACGUUAUUCGGAAUCACUGGGCUUAAAGGGUGCGUAGGCGGCUGUGAAGGUCAGGUUGUGAAAUCCCCACGGCUCAACCGUGGAACUGCCGCUUGAAACCCCCACAGCUUGAAGGAAGGUCAGAGGUAAGCGGAACUUGAUGGGUGGGAAGCGGGUGAAAUGCCGUUGAUAUUCAUCAGGAACAACCGGGUGGGCGAAAGCGGGCUUACUGGGACUUUUUCUUGACCGCUGAGGCACGAAAGCCAAGGGGAGCGAACGGGGAUUAGAUACCCCGG
rnacentral:rRNA from 1 species